GACGAACGCUGGCGGCGUGCUUAACACAUGCAAGUCGAGCGGAGCGGCGAACGGGUGAGUAACGCGUGAGUAACUUCCCCCCUCUCUGGAAUAACAGUUGGAAACGGCUGCUAAUACCGGAUAGUGGGGUAUGACUCGCGUCCUAUCCGCUUGUUGGUGGAGUAGUGGCCUACCAAGACGACGAAGGGUAGCCGGCCUGAGAGGGCGACCGGCCACAUUGUGCUGAGACACUGAGCAAACUCCUACGGGAGGCAGUGGUGGGGAAUAUUGCACAGUUGAGCAAACCCUGAUGCAGAAACGCCGUGUGCUGAAUACCGGCCUUCGCGUGGUAAACCGCUUUCAGCUAUCACGCUGUUGUUUCUGACGGCGCACCGGCUAACUACGUGCCAGCAGCCGCGGUAAUAC
rnacentral:rRNA from 1 species